UACAGAGGUCUCAAGCGUUGUUCGGAUUCAUUGGGCGUAAAGGGCGCGUAGGCGGGCCAUCAAGUCAAGGGUGAAAUCCCCCGGCUCAACCGGGGAAGUGCCCCUGAUACUGAUGGCCUUGAGGGAGGUAGGGGCGUGCGGAACUUCCGGUGGAGCGGUGAAAUGCGUAGAGAUCGGAAGGAACACCGGUGGCGAAGGCGGCACGCGUGGGCCCGGCCC
rnacentral:rRNA from 1 species